rnacentral:rRNA from 1 species
GGGCGUAAGCGUGCGCAGGCGGUUUUGUAAGACAGGCGUGAAAUCCCCGGGCUCAACCUGGGAACUGCGCUUGUGACUGCAAGGCUAGAGUACGGCAGAGGGGGGUGGAAUUCCACGUGUAGCAGUGAAAUGCGUAGAGAUGUGGAGGAACACCAAUGGCGAAGGCAGCCCCCUGGGUCGAUACUGACGCUCAUGCACGAAAGCGUGGGUAGCAAACAGGAUUAGAUACCCUGGUAGUCCACGCCCUAAACGAUGUCAACUAGGUGUUGGGUGGGUAAAACCAUUUAGUACCGGAGCUAACGCGUGAAGUUGACCGCCUGGGGAGUACGGCCGCAAGGUUAAAACUCAAAGGAAUUGACGGGGACCCGCACAAGCGGUGAAUGAUGUGGAUUAAUUCGAUGCAACGCGAAAAACCUUACCUACCCUUGACAUGUCUGGAAUCCCGAAGAGAUUUGGGAGUGCCCGAAAGGGAGCCGGAACACAGGUGCUGCAUGGCUGUCGUCAGCUCGUGUCGUGAGAUGUUGGGUUAAGUCCCGCAACGAGCGCAACCCUUGUCGUUAAUUGCCAUCAUUUAGUUGGGCACUUUAACGAGACUGCCGGUGACAAACCGGAGGAAGGUGGGGAUGACGUCAAGUCCUCAUGGCCCUUAUGGGUAGGGCUUCACACGUCAUACAAUGGUCGGUACAGAGGGUCGCCAAGCCGCGAGGUGGAGCCAAUCCCAGAAAGCCGAUCGUAGUCCGGAUUGCAGGCUGCAACUCGCCUGCAUGAAGUCGGAAUCGCUAGUAAUCGCGGAUCAGCAUGUCGCGGUGAAUACGUUCCCGGGUCUUGUACACACCGC